rnacentral:rRNA from 1 species
AUGGCCAACCACGGAGUCGCCGCUCUCCUGAUCACGUCCCUGCUCGUGGCGGUCACUCUCGCCGAUGGCAGGAUUACCGUGCAGGUGCAACGCCACAGCGUUAGCCGAGGUACGUCAUGUCAACCGAUCAGCAUCCUCCAGUUGAUCUGCAUGUGUAGCAGCGGCCAAAUGAGCAUGCGUUUCGCAGGGUAUGCGGUGAAGGCGGUGCUGGCGCUGGCGUGCAACAAGGUGAACGCGGUGCAGACGGGCGACACCUGCUCCUCCAUCGCGGACGGCGCCGGUCUGGCCCAGGAGGAUUUCCUGGGCUUCAAUCCCAACAUCAACUGCGAAAAGAUCUUUCUUGUCCAGUGGGUCUGCCUCGACGCGUCUGCUGCUUAA